CAAUAGCGUAUAUUAAAGUUGUUGCAGUUAAAAAGCUCGUAGUCGGAUUUUGGCAUCAUGCCGAACUGUCAGCCGAUUGGUUUGUACGGUUUGGCGGGUGCUCUCCUUCCGGAGGCUCGUUUCCUCUUUCAUUAGAGGGUUCGAUGGUUCCGGGUCUUUUACUUUGAAAAAAUUAGAGUGUUCAAAGCAGGCCUAUGCUCUGAAUAGGUUAGCAUGGAAUAAUAAAAUAGGACUUUGGUUCGUUAUUUUGUUUGGUUUUCGUUAGGACCGGAACGUAAAUAGAUUAAUAAGGGACGAGUUGGGGGUCGGAUUCUAUAUUCCUAACUAGUC
rnacentral:rRNA from 1 species